GUGUCUGAGGCAAGCAAGACCACCGCUGAAC
rnacentral:rRNA from 1 species